ACCUGCCCUAUGAUUAAAAAUUAAAUGGCUGCGGUAUUUUGACCGUGCAAAGGUAGCAUAAUAAUUAGUUUUUUAAUUGGGAACUGGUAUGAAAGGUCGAACGAGAAAGAGACUGUCUCAAUUUAAUUUAAAUUAGAAUUUUAUUUUUAAGUAAAAAAGCUUAAAUACAUUUAAAAGACGAGAAGACCCUAUAGAGUUUUAUAUUGAGAUAAUUAUAUAGGAAAUUAAAGGAUUAUUUUUUUUUAUAAUUAUUAAAAUAUUUGGUUGGGGCGAUUGAAAAAUUUAAUAAACUUUUUUUAAAUUAUAACAUUGAUUUAUGAAUAAGUGAUCCAUAUUUAAUGAUUAUAAGAUUA
rnacentral:rRNA from 1 species